rnacentral:rRNA from 1 species
UACGGAGGGUGCAAGCGUUGUCCGGAUUUUUUGGGCGUAAAGAGUUCGUAGGCGGUCUUUCAAGUCACUCUUCAAAUAUCUCGGCUCAACCGGGGGCAGGGGAGUGAUACUAAAAGACUUGUAAUGCUUCGGGGCUACUGGAACUAUCGGUGUAGGAGUGAAAUCCGUUGAUAUCGAUAGGAACACCGAGGGCGAAGGCGGGUAGCUAGGAGUCAUUUGACGCUGAGGAACGAAAGCUAGGGGAGCGAAA